CGAAAGCCUGACGGAGCAAGACCGCGUGGGGGAGGAAGGCUCUAGGGUUGUAAACCCCUUUUCUUUGGGAAGAACAAAAUGACGGUACCAAGGGAAUCAGCCUCGGCUAACUCCGUGCCAGCAGCCGCGGUAAUACGGAGGAGGCAAGCGUUAUCCGGAAUGAUUGGGCGUAAAGCGUCCGUAGGUGGUUAAUCAAGUCUGCUGUUAAAGCGUGCAGCUCAACUGCAUAUAGGCAGUGGAAACUGUUGAACUAGAGUAUGGUAGGGGUAGGGGGAAUUCCCAGUGUAGCGGUGAAAUGCGUAGAGAUUGGGAAGAACACCGGUGGCGAAAGCGCCCUACUGGGCCAUAACUGACACUGAGGGACGAAAGCUAGGGGAGCG
rnacentral:rRNA from 1 species